rnacentral:rRNA from 1 species
AUUGAACGCUAGCGGGAUGCCUUACACAUGCAAGUCGAACGGAGUGGCGAACGGGUGAGUAAUGUAUCGGAACGUGCCCAGUAGCGGGGGAUAACUACGCGAAAGCGUAGCUAAUACCGCAUACUAUUGGAGCGGCCGAUCUCGGAUUAGCUAGGUGGUGGGGUAACGGCUCACCAAGGCGACGAUCCGUAGCUGGUUUGAGAGGACGACCAGCCAACCUGGGACUGAGACACGGCCCAGACUCCUACGGGAGGCAGCAGUGGGGAAUUUUGGACAAUGGGGGAAACCCUGAUCCAGCCAUCCCGCGUGUGCGAUGAAGGCCUUCGGGUUGUAAAGUACUUUCAGCGAGGAGGCGUUACUCGCAGAAGAAGCACCGGCUAACUCCGUGCCAGCAGCCGCGGUAAUAC